CUUAUUUUUCCGAUUUUGUGGCUUGGAGCGUCUCCUGGAGGUGUUGGUUCGUGCUGGGAUGGAGGCUGCUGGGUUGGAAGUGCUCCGAUGGCGGCUGGGAUGCGGCUAUUAUAUUAACUCUCCCUCUACCGGAGUUCCCUGAUUUGCGGUCGCGUCUCAUGAUUUUCGAGGCACAAACAAAAACUGACCCAGCACUGUUGCUAUGCUCGCCGCCGUCCCUGCACCCGGUGUCCCUCCCCAGCCUUUUCUCCCCGUGGGCCAGCCCCUGCAGCCCAAUCUCGUGCAGCCUCAAAAAGGCCUUCAGCAGCAGCCUCCCGCUGCAUUUCAUGUGCAAGGCCCAGCUGAUCACAUGUUAGCGCAAGGCCCAUCGUUAUUUGUUUAAAGCAUGUAUUGUCUUACUUAAAAUGGAAGCAUCGGCUAACUAUCACGUGGUGGUUUAAUAGUUGGAGAUGAAUUUCAGGCUCUUGUUCUACA